rnacentral:rRNA from 1 species
UACGUAGGUGCAGCAGCUAUUACGCGAAUUACUGGGCGUAAAGCGUGCGCAGGCGGUUCGCUAAGACCGAUGUGAAAUCCCCGGGCUUAACCUGGGAACUGCAUUGGUGACUGGCGGGCUAGAGUAUGGCAGAGGGGGGUAGAAUUCCACGUGUAGCAGUGAAAUGCGUAGAGAUGUGGAGGAAUACCGAUGGCGAAGGCAGCCCCCUGGGCCAAUACUGACGCUCAUGCACGAAAGCGUGGGGAGCAAACAGG